GUGCCAGCAGCCGCGGUAAUACCGGCAGCCUGAGUGAUGGCCGAUCUUAUUGGGCCUAAAGCGUCCGUAGCUGGCUGCGCAAGUCCGUCGGGAAAUCCACCCGCCCAACGGGUGGCCGUCCGGCGGAAACUGCACAGCUUGGGACCGGAAGGCGCGAAGGGUACGUUCGGGGUAGGAGUGAAAUCCCAUAAUCCCGCACGGACCCCCGAUGGCGAAAGCACGUCGAGAAAACGGAUCCGACAGUGAGGGACGAAAGCCAGGGUCUCGAACCGGAUUAGAAACCCGGGUAGUCC
rnacentral:rRNA from 1 species